GCACAACGCGAAGAACCUUACCAGGCCUUGACAUGCAGAGAACUUUCCAGAGAUGGAUUGGUGCCUUCGGGAACUCUGACACAGGUGCUGCAUGGCUGUCGUCAGCUCAUGUCGUGAGAUGUUGGGUUAAGUCCCGUAACGAGCGCAACCCUUGUCCUUAGUUACCAGCACGUUAUGGUGGGCACUCUAAGGAGACUGCCGGUGACAAACCGGAGGAAGGUGGGGAUGACGUCAAGUCAUCAUGGCCCUUACGGCCUGGGCUACACACGUGCUACAAUGGUCGGUACAGAGGGUUGCCAAGCCGCGAGGUGGAGCUAAUCUCACAAAACCGAUCGUAGUCCGGAUCGCAGUCUGCAACUCGACUGCGUGAAGUCGGAAUCGCUAGUAAUCGCGGAUCAGAAUGUCGCGGUGAAUACGUUCCCGGGUCUUGUACACACCG
rnacentral:rRNA from 1 species